GCUAAAGGCAGAACCUUCGGCAGCAGCUUUCCUUCUCUCCUGCCACGAAGAGAUUGGAACAGCCCAGUACACCGGCCCAUCUGAGUUCACUUUGCAUCUCAAUUUUGUUCUUCAACAUAUUUGAUCCUCUGCCAGCUUUGAGUCAUCUUCAGACGUGGUAAGUACAUUUUAUAUAUCACGUAAAUUAUUAAUGAAGUUGGAAAAGCCCUGGGGCUCUUCUCUGGAGACCUUUCUGCUGGUUGCCACCUAUGCUAUGGGUAAAAUUCUUUAAUCAAUUGCCACUCCAUUGGGCUAUGUUAUAGUCUGGUUAAAACCUCAUUGUUUUAUUUCAGUUCAUUCAUGAGAAAGUUAUGAGAGAAAAUGACCAAAUGCAUUACUGAAUCCAACAUAUGAACAUUGACAAAGUGUUACCAAAGACAAGAUGGAUAAGGAUAAUCUAAGAUGGAGGCUUUGCUUGUUUUGCUACAAUGGAAAUAUGAGUAUUUUUCCUAAUUAUAAAAGUGCUAUGGGUUUGUUAUAAAGGUCAGUAGCAUGUACUGGAAGUGAGUCUACAUAGCAUUCUGGCACUCCGCUAGAUAUAUCUGGCCAGUCUGUGAGCUUAUCAACAGUUCUAGGAGAUCAUACCCUAGAGAAUGUUUCAUGACCUGCUUUAUCUCCACAAUUUUGAUCAUCCCACAACUUCUCCCAGAUUCACCUCUACCUCCCAAUUCACCUAACUUCAUCUUCUCUCUUUUUUCUCUAUAUUUUUCCAUUUCUAAAAAUUAAUCAAGUCCAGUUUGUGUUGGCCAACUACCCUGGGAUGUCCUACUCUGAAUACACUAUUAAUGAACACUGACUCUCCCUCUCUGCCAGCAGCCACCAAAUGACAACAACUCUGCUGCCAUGGGUAGGACUUCAUGCCUACUUCUCCUUUAUGUUAGGACUGUGUUUGGCUUGAACUUAUACAGGUCUUGUGCCUGUUGUCCUAAGUUGUAAUUUUAUAUGUGUAUCUGUCCUGUUGUGUGCAGGAAACAUGGUUUUCUUGAAAUAAUCCACCAGCCCAACAAACUACUACCACAAUCUUUGUAGUUCCUCUUCUGCUAACUUGCCGCGAGCUUUGAGAGUAGGGGUUUACUAUAGAUGUCCCAUUUCAAAGUCUUUUGUUCUAUGAUGUAAGAAGAAGUUUCUUUGAUUGGUGUUGAGUAAUGGAGGCUUUACAAAGUCAAGCACUUCAGCAUGAAGAUUUGAGUGGUGAACUGUUUUGAUAGGAGGCUGCAGGUCCUAACUGGCCCAAGUGGUAUGAUUAGGAACACCAAAAGGCACAACUGUGAUGAACUAUUAUUCUGCAUUAUAUAUCCUCAACUCAAACCAAGUGAGGCCAUCUUCUAGUUCCUUCAUGACGCCCUUCUUUUUAUCUCCACAUGUAUAUUCUGCCUGUUCAAUGUAUAUAUGUAUCUUCUAGAUAAGGUAGGUGCCACCUGCUGUGAAAUCUUAUAACUCUUUAAGGUCACUCAUGCUUGACUAGCUGAACUGCAACUGCCUUGUUCUGUGAUUUGAAAUAAAUCAUUUAUCAUAUCUGGCUUUAGUUAUCAUCAUCCAUAGAAUCUAUAUACACACCUUGCUUGAUGACUGAUUGAUACUAAGUAAGCACUUAGUGAAUGUUAGUCAAGAUUUUUGUUAUCAUCAUCAUGGGAUGUCACAUUCCCUACAGUAUUGAAUUGUGAUGGAGACAAAACAGGAACAUGGGCAAUGCCCAUGAUAAGGCUCAGCAUAAGGUGAGUGCCAAACAAAAGAUAGAAGUUACCAAUUUUUGUUUGUAUCUCCCUUUGAAUACUUAACUUCUUUUCUCUUUUGUCACGUCUAUGUGUGUUCAUGUCUUAAGGAUCAAGACUGAAAAUUAGUUGAGUUCUUUAAAUUUCAUAUGAGGAAAUCCUACUAUCACUUAAAAAAAUACCCCUUUCAGAUUUGACCAUUUGCUAGGUAGAUAGCUCCUUUUCCACUACCUGAUUCACUAGGGCAGCCUGGAUAAAUCGGGGUAUAGAGACUCUAGCUUCCAAAGCCACUGAUCACAAAAUUAGCUAGGUCUGAAAUGUUACAAAUGUGUGAGAGUUUCUCUGAGCAGAGUUGACUGUACUCCAUGCAUGGAGACAGCCCCCCUUAGCCAGUAGCCUACUUCAGGCUCUUGAGUACCAGAGCAGUCUCCCAGGUUCUUUCUGUGUUCUCUGAUACCUUUAUGCAACACAGUAAAUCAGAUCACAUCUUCUUCAAAAAUCUUCUCACAGUUCUUAUCUCGUGAAGUAAUUUUUUAAAUAUUUUGCACGAUUUACUGAACUCAGCAUAAUGUAGUUCCUGUGUACCUUUUUAAUCUCAUCUUGUCCCACUCUUCUUUCCUGCUUUGCACCACCCACAAUAACCUUCUGUUCUGAGAAAACACCAAACUCAAUUUACUCCAAUGCUUUUGCUCUUAUUCUGACCCUCUGCCAGGAAGUAAACCUCCUCCCGGCCCCCAAUUUGCCUGUGAUUUAUCCUCCAAGUUUCUACAUAAAUGAUACUAUGUCAGGAAAAGAUGAAAUCUCCCCUGUGUAUUUUAUUUUCAGUAGGUUCUCAUGUUUCCAGUUCAGUUCAGAUUCAUUGGCUCUCAGGUCUGCUUCACAUUGAGAAUCAUGUAGGGAAUAUUAAAAAUGAGACAAUGACCAGGGCCCUUCUAGAUCAAGUAAGGCAGAAUUUUGGAGGUUGACUUCUAGGCAUCUGCAAAUAGUUCCUACAAGCCAAGGUUGAUGGCUUCCAUUCUGGUCAAUCAGUCUGUUACUUUCCUACUUAGUGCUUGCAUCAAGCUACCAAUAAUUUGUUCCAUCCACUGAAUCAGUAAAUAUUUAUUGAGUCCAUAAUGCUUGCCAAGGAUAACUGAAAACACAAGGAGUAAAAUAGUGAACACAAAUGAAUCAAAUCUCAAACUUUAUAAAAUAUCAAUUCCAAUAAGAAAGGCAGACAAUAAGCAAUAUCAGUCAGACACUUAGUAUUUUCUAUGUGAU
ensembl:lncRNA